CAGGUUGACCAGACGGUCGCGGGUAGGGUGGCAGCGUGCUGCUGUGCUACCUGAGGAAAGUCCGCUCUCCAUAGGGCGCGGUGCUGGCUAACCGCCAGGCAGCGUAAGCUGACGGCAAGUGCAACAGAGAAGCGUAUUGCCGUGCGCGGCUUCGGCUGCCUACGGCGAGGGUGAAACGGUGGUGUAAAAGACCACCAGCGCGGGCAGUGAUGUGCGCGGCUAGGCAAACCCCACCGGGAGCAAGGUCAAGCAGGCGCGUGGGGCUGCCCGUCCCAUAAGUAGCGCCGGGUGUACCGCAUGACGGCGUGAGCAAUCACGACGCUAGAGAGAUGACCGUCCAACGACAGAAAGCGGCUUAUCGGCUGACCUGGAUA
rnacentral:RNase_P_RNA from 1 species